rnacentral:rRNA from 1 species
ACUUUUAGCAAUGGAUCUCUAGGCUCUCAUAUCGAUGAAGAACACAGUGAAAUGUGAUAAUUAAUGUGAAUUGCAGAAUUCAGAAUCAUCAAGUUUUUGAACGCACCUUGCACCUUUUGGUAUUCCAAAAGGUACACCUGUUUGAGUGUCAU